GUGCCAGCCGCCGCGGUAAUACCGGCAGCCCGAGUGAUGGCCGAUCUUAUUGGGCCUAAAGCGUCCGUAGCUGGCUGCGCAAGUCCGUCGGGAAAUCCACUCGCCCAACGAGUGGGCGUCCGACGGAAACUGUGUGGCUUGGAACCGGAAGGCUCAGAGGGUACGUCCGGGGUAGGAGUGAAAUCCCGUAAUCCCGGACGGACCACCGAUGGCGAAAGCACUCUGAGAAGACGGCUUCGACAGUGAGGGACGAAAGCUAGGGUCUCAAACCGGAUUAGAAACCCUAGUAGUCC
rnacentral:rRNA from 1 species